AUUGAACGCUGGCGGCAUGCUUUACACAUGCAAGUCGAACGGCAGCGCGGGCUUCGGCCUGGCGGCGAGUGGCGAACGGGUGAGUAAUGCAUCGGAACGUGCCCAGUAGUGGGGGAUAGCCCGGCGAAAGCCGGAUUAAUACCGCAUACGACCUGAGGGUGAAAGCGGGGGACCGAAAGGCCUCGCGCUAUUGGAGCGGCCGAUGUCGGAUUAGCUAGUUGGUGGGGUAAAGGCUUACCAAGGCGACGAUCCGUAGCUGGUCUGAGAGGACGACCAGCCACCCUGGGCCUGAGACCGGGCCCAGCCCCCUACGGGAGGCCGCAGGGGGGAAUUUUGGAAAAGGGGGGCAACCCUGACCCAGCCAUGCCGGGGGGGGGAAGAAGGCCUUGGGUUUGUAAACCGCUUUUUUUGGGGAAGAAACCCUUGGGGCUAAUACCCCGGGGGGAUGACGGUACCGGAAGAAUAAGCACCGGCUAACUACGU
rnacentral:rRNA from 1 species